AUGAUCACCAGGAGCUCGAUCGGGAAGGAGCGGUGCUCACCGACGUGAACCAACGGCCGUUGGAUGUCAUGCUCUCCCAGCCCAAUCUCUUCGAUCUGCGAUUCACGGCGUCCCGAUGCACGCUUUCAAGUUCCGAUCCUAUUCGGAUGCAUGACGGCAUCGGGUGGAUCUCAAUCGAAUGCUUUCUUGGGGGUUGUUCUUCGGAAAGGCUUCGUCUCCGAGGACUCUUGAGAUCAACCACAGGUGACGGACACAGCCAAUAUCUCGACCUUCUGAAGCUAUUAGAAAAGGAAAUUGGCAGAAUUUGACGAGUCUUCAGUGGAUCAUGCAAGCUCAACUCAGGUCAAAGGAGGAGAUCUAAUGGGUGUGGAUCCACUGGAGCUUGCAUUGCUAACUUCUGCUUCUCAUUCUUGCAGUCGUUAAUUUAUUGCUGAUUCAACAGCCUUUUUUUGUAUGGUCAGGAAAGCCAAACUUGCAAAUCAUGCUAGAAAAGGUGUACAAUGCUUUUUUCCAGGAAAGAAAGAAAUGGUGGAUGCUCCUCCGAUCUACAUCAGGAACUUCAAUCAGAUGAUCAAACUCUAUGAUGUGAUAACUUCAAUGAUAAUUACGUGCCAUCCUCGUUCCGGACUCGUCCCAGACUGGCCUCCACGUGUCCCCCGCGGCAGUGGUACCACCCAACCUCUCCCAUUGAUGGUGAUGGUGAUAUGGACACAUGAAUCUUGGUCCCUACGUGACCAAUAACGCAUACCACCAAAUGCCAACUCUGCAGGGAAGAAGAUGCAUUGAA